rnacentral:rRNA from 1 species
AUUGAACGCUGGCGGCAGGCCUAACACAUGCAAGUCGAGCGAGCGGAGGACGGGUGAGUAAUGUAUGGGGACUGCCCGAUAGGGGGGGAUAACUACUGUAAACGGUGGCUAAUACCGCAUACUAUCGGAUACCCCAUAUGGGAUUAGCGAGUAGGUGGGGUAAAGGCUCACCUAGGCGACGAUCUCUAGCUGGUCUGAUAGGAUGAUCGGCCACACUGGGACUUAGACACGGCCUAGACUCCUCCGGAGGCAGCAGUGGGGAAUAUUGAAGAAUGGGCGCAAGCCUGAUGCAGCCAUGCCGCGUGUAGGAAGAAGUCGUUAGGGCUGUAAAGUGCUGUCAGCGGGGAGGCGUUACCCGGAGAAGAAGCACCGGCUAACUCCGUGCCAGCAGCCGCGGUAAUUC